rnacentral:rRNA from 1 species
UACAGAGACUGCGAGCGUUAUUCGGAUUCACUGGGCGUAAAGGGCUCGUAGGCGGCCAACUAAGUCGGAUGUGAAAUCCCCCAGGCUUAACCUGGGAACUGCAUCCGAUACUGGAUGGCUUGAAUCCGGGAGAGGGAUGCAGAAUUCCAGGUGUAGCGGUGAAAUGCGUAGAUAUCGGGAGGAACACCAGUGGCGAAGGCGACUACCCUGGCCCUGUUCUUGACGCUGAGGCGGCGAAAGCUAGGGAGCAAACGGG